GUUCUUAAUUGAACUCAGUUUUAAUAUAGGAUUAUGAACUUUUCAUUAUAAUUAGCUACAUAAUAUAUUUUUAUAAUGCAUUAUUUUUUAUUUAUAUUAGUAUUAAUUAAAAACUGAUGAAUAUAAAAGUAGCACAUUUAAAAUAUGCAUAAUUAUAGUUUCGUAAAUAUAUAACCAAUAUAAUUUAUUUGAGAGUUUUUGUAGAUUAUGAAUAAAAAAAUCUAAAAAAUACAUAAUUAUAUAAUAAUUAAGCACAUUUAUGUCAUUCUCUAUAAUAACGGAAAUUGAAAAUGACAAAUAAAUAUCCAAGUGGUAACCCACUUGGCACGGAGGAACAAAUUUGGUAUGCAAACUGCGUACACGUAUCAAAUGUCAUCAAUCUGACAAAAUUAUUCGUUUCAUUAGAAACACUCAUCAACCAAACUUACCCUAAUAAUGAGAAGUAAAUAAAAAAAAAUAAAAAAACCUUAAAUUUAAGAAUUCUAAUUAAUAUAUAUUUACUAUUUAAGUCAGGCUUCACUUUCUCAGCCAUUUCCUUUAUCUUAUUGAAACAUUUCUUUCCAAAAAAAAAAAGAAAAAGUAAAAAAGCGAAAUUCCUAAAUAAUAUGGAGGAUCUUGGCCGGCCGCCUGUAGUAGCAACUCCAUGACCGCAGCCGUCCUCUUUUCUCCAACUUGCACCGCCACCGCCGUCGUAUCCUCCACCAACCACAGAUUAUAAAUUAUUUUGCAGUUAGUGUUGUUUUGGGCACAGCACCAAGAACUGCAUCUUUCUUCUCACCAUUGACAAAGAUCAUGACUGUUGGAACGCUUCGGAUGCCAUAUUUGGUUGCAGUAGAAGGACUUUCAUCGGUACUCAAUUUGUAGAAGUUUAGUUUUCCAGCAUACUGCUCUGAUAGUUCAGCUACUACGGGAUGGAUGAUUCGGCAGGGUCCGCACCAGGGGGCCCAGAACUCGACCAGCACUGGCCUGUCGGCCUUGAGGACGAGAGACUGCCAUGUCGCAUCAGUCACAGUUGGAACUGGAAUUGAAGUCCACCAAAUAAUUCAACUCAAAUUGUUGUGUAGGAAAAUAUGAUUGUAAUACUGGAAAUAAAACAAUCAAUUUCCCUUUUCUUUUUUA